UCCCCGUUACCGGGGCAGUCGACUGUGAGAAAUACAACACAGUCCGAGGGUUGCGCUCGUUUAGGGACUUAACCCGACAUCUCACGACACGAGCUGACGACAACCAUGCAGCGCCUGUUACUACUUUCCCUUUCGGGCACCUCCCUGUUUCCAGGGCAUUAGUAGAAUGUCAAACCUUGGUAAGGUUCUUCGCUUACCGUCGAAUUAAACCACAUGCUCCACCGCUUGUGUGGAUCCCCGUCAAUUUCUUUGAGUUUUAGUCUUGCGACCGUACUUCCCAGGCGGGAUACUUAAUGCGUUAGCUUAGACACUCAGAGGGGUCGAUUCCUCCGAACGUCGAGUAUCCAAUGUUUAAGGCGUGGACUAC
rnacentral:misc_RNA from 1 species